GAGAUGUCCAUCGAGAAAUUCAUAUGUGCUCUUCUUCUUAGCUUCAUGAAUGCACAAAUCAAUUAAAACUCAAGAGCCAUUUGUUUGCUUGAAAUAACCAUCUUCAUUGGUGGAUAAAAUUCCAUUGUAGAGCUAUAAUCUUUCCUUGCAUUUGUUGUUUCCUCUGCAAGGUGUAGGCUUAUUGAUGUUCUGGGCAUUGUUUAGGUGAUGAUAUUAGUCCAGACCUACUGAAGUUGGAUAUCUACUCAUCCAAUCACGACUAAAUUUAACAGGCAAUUGGUAACGCUGAGAGGCUAAUUUGUUAUGGAGAUGUAUUUCCAAUUAUUUCCCAAUCCAAGAGAUAUAUCUAGGCAGUGUUUUCCCCAAUCUUACUCACUUUAUAAUGUAAUGUAAUGUAGGAAAAGCACGUGAAUGACAAGAAAAUUUCAAUAAAGAAAAA